UUAAAGCUAUAAUAAGAGCCUCUCUGCAUGCUAAGCCUUUGAAUACCAAAAGGUCAACAAUGUUAGUGAAAUCUUACAAUUCCAAAGCAAAUUUUGACCACUCGAAUUCCUAGCAAUCACCGCAAUUGAACCUUUUCCUCCCUACUUACUAACAGCUACACCAAAUUUUAAUUUGACCAAAGAAGGUGAGAGAGGAGCAUCCAAGAAACUGGUGGAGAUAACAUUUGGGGAGGGGAGUGAAUCUUCACAUUGUGGUCAAAGCGUUUCUACUCUUCGUCAAAGUAGCUGGGAACACUCUAAGUUGUACAAGUUGGGCACCAUCUUGUUGAGCUUCCAAAUGAUGUGUUAAUAAAUCCAAUAAUCUUUC
rnacentral:lncRNA from 1 species